rnacentral:rRNA from 1 species
AGUCUCAGUUCGGAUUGAAGGCUGAAAUUCGCCUUCAUGAAGCCGGAAUUGCUAGUAAUGGCAGGUCAGCAUACUGCCGUGAAUACGUUCCCGGGCCUUGUACACACCGCCCGUCACACCAUGAGAGUUGGCAACACCCGAAGUCGAUGAGCUAACCGCAAGGAGGCAGUCGCCUAAGGUGGGGUUGAUAACUGGGGUGAAGUCGUAACAAGGUACC